UACGUAGGGUGCGAGCGUUAAUCGGAAUUACUGGGCGUAAAGCGUGCGCAGGCGGUCGUGCAAGACAGAUGUGAAAUCCCCGGGCUCAACCUGGGAACUGCAUUUGUGACUGCACGGCUUGAGUACGGUAGAGGAGGAUGGAAUUCCGCGUGUAGCAGUGAAAUGCGUAGAUAUGCGGAGGAACACCGAUGGCGAAGGCAGUCCCCUGGGCCUGUACUGACGCUCAUGCACGAAAGCGUGGGGAGCAAAC
rnacentral:rRNA from 1 species